rnacentral:rRNA from 1 species
GAUGAACGCUGGCGGCGUGCUUAACACAUGCAAGUCGAACGAGAAUCAACGGAUUGAGGAUUCGUCCAAAUGAAGUUGAGGAAAGUGGCGGACGGGUGAGUAACGCGUGAGGAAACCUGGCCUCAAAGAGGGGGACAACAGUUGGAAACGACUGCUAAUACCCGCAUAAGCCCACAGCUCGGCAUCGAAGCAGAGGGAAAGGAGUGAUCCGCUUUGAGAUGGCCUCGCGUCCGAUUAGCUGGUUCGGUGAGGUAACGGCCCACCAAGGCAACGAUCGGUAGCCGGACUGAGAGGUUGAACGGGCCACAUUGGGACUGAGACACGGCCCAG